GAUGACGCUGUCGUCUGCCUAAACAUGCAAGUCGAACGGCAGCACAGCAGUAGCAAUACUGUGGGUGGCGAGUGGCGGACGGGUGAGUAAUGCAUCGGGAUCUACCCAAACGUGGGGGAUAACGUAGGGAAACUUACGCUAAUACCGCAUACGUCCCAUGGGAGAAAGCGGGGGCUCGCAAGACCUCGCGCGGUUGGACGAACCGAUGUGCGAUUAGCUAGUUGGUAGGGUAAUGGCCUACCAAGGCGACAAUCGCUAGCUGGUCUGAGAGGAUGAUCAGCCACACUGGGACUGAGACACGGCCCAGACUCCUACGGGAGGCAGCAGUGGGGAAUAUUGGACAAUGGGCGCAAGCCUGAUCCAGCAAUGCCGCGUGUGUGAAGAAGGCCUUCGGGUUGUAAAGCACUUUUAUCAGGAGCGAAAUGCCAUGGGCUAAUACCCCGUGGAGCUGACGGUACCUGAGGAAUAAGCACCGGCUAACUUCGUGCCAGCAGCCGCGGUAAUACGAAGGGUGCAAGCGUUAAUCGGAAUUACUGGGCGUAAAGGGUGCGUAGGCGGUUCGUUAAGUCUGUCGUGAAAUCCCC
rnacentral:rRNA from 1 species